UGGGUGAAGAUCUUGUGCGCGUAAUCGAGGUCGCGGUGGAGGAGAUCGGAGGUGGUGGCGCAGAAGCGGAGGAGCUCCGCGGCGGCGAGAGUGUCUCGCAUUUGGCCUGAUUUGACGAACGUGGCGUGGAUUUGGGAGAGGUCGCGCAUGGUUCGGCAUCUGUUGAUUUGAGGGAAGAGGGAAGACGGGUGCGUUGAAUGAGAUGACGGUGGGUUUCCGCCGGAGGAGUAAAGCGUCUGCGUUGGGUUCAUGGUGGUGACUCGCGAGUUCUUCGUCUAAGGAAAGAAGAAAGGAUCGUGUGGUUCGUAACAAGAUAGUGCAACAGUCUUAACUCUUAACUGUCCAAUUCUGUCUUUUAUUAUAUUUUUAUAAUACUCAGUUUUACAAUAUACUCUUUUCAAAUUAAUAAGCUUUUAACCUGUUUAUAAAUGAUUAAAAUAAUUAAACUUUGAUUAUAAAUAAAUUUUGAUUAACAAUUUUCAAUAGGUUUAAACCAGUAGUAAUUCAAUAAACUGAACUAGGGCUGGGCAAAUAAACCGAAUCCGAAAAUCCGAACCGAACCCGAUCCGAUAAAAAUGAAUCCGAACCGAUCCGAAUCCGACAUAAAUACCGAAUGGAUCCUGUUUUUUGGUAUUUUGGGUUAUGGGUAUUAUCCGAACCGAACCCGGACCUAAAUGGAUAUCCGAUAGAACCCGAAACAUUUAAAAUCACAAAAAGAACUUCUACCAAAUAUGAUCAUAAUUCUUAAUAUGUAUCCAAAACACUUUAAGAUAUUAUUGAACUUCUAAAAUAAUUAUAUGUUACAUGAAGGUUGAUGGUGGAAUGUGGCGGUUGAUGCCUGAAGUUUUUAGGUUUUGGUUUUGUUUUUAUUGAAUAAUGUUUCUCAUUUCAUGAGAACUUAUUUUUUGUUUUAUGAUUUCAUUUAUCUGGUUUUCUUUCUAUCACUAUCUAUGUUUAUAUUUCGCUUGAUUUUGAAUGAUCACGUUUGAUGUUUUUUCUUAUUUUUGAAUCGAUUUUACUUAUGUUUUGGCUAUUAAAAUAUGUAGAAAUCAUGUAUUUUAAAUUCGAAGAACCGAUUUCAUUUAUGUUUUAGUUACAAAAUAGGUACAAAUCAGAUAUUUUUAAACCAAAGAACCGAUUGGGACCCGAACCCGAAAGUACAAUGGGUUAUACCGGUUCUUUGAAGAUUUACUAACCCCGACCCGAACCCGAUAGAACCCGAACCGGUCCCGAACCGAACUUUUAUAUAACCCGAAUGGGGUUGAUUUUGAUAAACCCGAAAAACCGAAACCCGAAUGGAUAAAACCGAAACCCGAUUGGGACCCCGAAUGCCCAUGCCUAAACUGAACUAUUUUCCUUCAAGUUUACAUUUAAGAAUCCUACAAUGUGAACUUGGUUCUAAACAUCCAUAGACACAUUGAGCCCAACACGGUAACAAUAUGUGUAAGGUCCAAUUACCCGAGAUUUACAUGGUUAAAGGUUUAAAGCUAUCUUGGUUUAUAAAUACAACUAAACUAGAUCAUAAAUAAAUAUUAUAUAUAAAUUAUUUUUAAUUAUUAUAUAUUUUUUACAUAUUAUAAAAUAAUAAAUAUAUAUUGAAUAAUUAAAAAUUUAGUAACUAUUACGUAUAUAAUUAAAUUGGUACAAAUACUUAAAUAAAUUUUAUUAAAGACAAACAUUUUUUCUAUUUUAUAUAAUAUAAAAUUAAGUUUAAAUGAUAUUAACAUAGAUAUAUAGUACAUUUUUAAUAUUGACAUCUGUUAAAAAAAUAUUUUUGAUCAUUUGUAUUUCUUUAUAACAAAAUUUUUAAAUCAAUGAUAACAAUAAAAAAUUUGUGGGAUGUUUAAUAGUUUUAGUAAUUAGGAUUCAUACUUAUAGCCUUGUAAAUUAGUUUGGCUUCUAUUUUCUUGUAAAUGCUCAUUUUUGCCAAGAUCAAUAAAGUUCACAUUUCAUCAAAAAAAUAGUUUUAAUAAUUUAUAAUUUUAAAAACAUUCAAUGCAAAGUUUAAAAUCUAAAUAUUAAGUUGUCAAUAAUUGUUCAAGAUGUUUAUCAAAAAAAUUCAAAGCAAAUUUGAAAUUAAAAUACUUAUGUAUUUUAUAUGGUAUAUAAUUUAGGGCAAUUGUCAAUAAUAACACCUUUUGAAGUUUAUGUCUCAAAAAUGGCACUAGAAGGAGAAAGUCACAAAAUAACAUUCAUUAAAGGGUAAAAUAUCCCUAAUACCCUUGGUUUAAAAUUUUUUUAAAAAAUAAAUAAAUAAAAUUAAAAAAAUGAAAAAAAGAAUUUUUUUUUUAUAGUUUCAGAUUAUAUGUUUUCAAAUUCGAAAUUUUUAUAAUUUUUUUUUUCAAAAUUGUUUUUUAUUUUUUUUUCAAAUUUUCUUUUUAUAAUUUAAAAUACUUUUUGAAACUGUUUUUAAAAUUUUUAUUUUAUUUUAGUAUUUAUUUUUUAUAAAAUUAUAAACCUUAAUUCAAAAACCCCACCCCUUAAUUCUAAACUCUAAGGUUUGAAUUAAUUAACCCAAUGGGUAUAAGUGUAUAUUUACCUCUUUAAUGAAACCUAUUUUUGUGACUUUGAGCCUUGAGUGCUACUUUGGGAACAAAAACUUGAUUUUGUGCUAUCUUAGUCUUUUUCUCAUAAAUAAACCCUUUUUCAAAAAAAAAAGGUCCUAAAAUAACUUCAAACACCAUUUUCUUCCAAUAGGGUUUUAUAUUUAGGGGGUUGCGUUUGAAGAAGGUUUAGAGUUUGGAAUAUUGUUGUUAUUUUAUCAUUUAAUAAAUACUAAUAUGGGCAAAUCUCCAAAAUAGCACAUUUCUAUGUUUAUGUCACAAAAAUAGUCAUCAAAAACUAAAAUGACCAAAAUAGCAUUUUAUCUUUUGAAAAUUUAAUUUUUUUUUAUUUUUUAAAAUUUAAAAUCUUAUCCCCGAAACCCCACUUCCCAACUCUAAACCCUAAAACCUAAACUCUAAACCCUAAUGUCUAAAUUAAUUUACCAUUGGGGUAUAAGUGUAUAUUUAUCUCUUUUGAUAAAACAUUAAGUGCUAUUUUGGUCAUUUUUAUUCUUAGAUGUUAUAUUUGUAACAAAAAAUUUUAUAGUGCUAUCUUAGUCAUUUUCUCUAUAAUUUAUUUUAAAAAAUAUUAAUAUACAUAUAUAUAAUAUUUAUUAAAUGAGAUUUUCUACUUAUGUAAUUUCGUAAUCAUUUGUAUCUUGUUAUAACAUAAAUUUUAAAGCAUGGAUCACAAAAAUUUCAAUAUGAGAUUUUUAACAACUUUAGUCAUUUAUAUUCGUUUUUAAAAAUUCAAAAUAUAACAUAUACGAAAAAAUCUAAAAUUUUAUUAUAUAGUUAAUGUAAUUGUUUAAUUUAUUUUAAUAAAUUAAGAUUUAAAAAAAUGAUAGAGAAUAGACUAAUUUUUAACAAAUCUUUAUUAUUCAAAGUCAUUAAUUGUCAUAUAUACUUUAACCACAUUAUGUAAUUCCGUGAUUUUUAUUUAAAGAAACAAUGAAUCACAUUUAUGAUUAAUUUAUGGUUAGUUUGAUAAAAAGCUUAGUAUAUAUUUAUAUGGACCAACAUGUUUUUCUAAAGAUUUUAAGAAUGAUUGUGGUGAUGACAUGUGGCUACAAAAAUACGUUGUAAUGCUUCUCUUUUAAUAUGUAGGGGAUUUAUUAAAACAACUAAAUUUGUAGAGCACUGUGAUUUAGUGGUAAAAGUUUAAAAGCUAGCUUUUACAUCAAACCAGAGUUGAACCAAAAAUGCAAUUUCUUGUAUAUUAUAGGAUGUAAACCUUUUUUAACGUUAGAUUGUAUUAUUAAGUUUUUUUUUGGCAAACCGUUUUAAACAAUGAGAACAAACAAAAAAAAUGUUAAAAUGAUACAACCGUAGGGAUCCAAAAUAAAUUAACACACAUCUAUUUUGCGUAUGGAUGACUAAAGAUUUUCAUAUAAAAACUUCAUAUUUGCUUCUGGAAUAGUUGAAUCUCAAGGGAGAUAAUCUUCGUAUUAAUCCAAAACACCACGCUUCAGACUGAAAUGAAAAACGAUUGCCACUCAGCUUUUAAUACUCCCGUAGGAGUCACCGAGACAAGACAAAAAUUUUAAUUGCUCUAUUGAUAAUAAUAGAGUCAAAGAGAUUACCGUUCCAUAUAAUUUCAUGUUGCCUUUUAAAAUAAACAUAGUUUGCAGCAAGAACUUCAUUACCAUUAAAUGAAAAAUCAUCAACUAGAAGCCGGUAAGAUCUAUCGUCACCAUCUGUAGUAGAUCUGUCAAUUACCUUUUCUAAACAGUUCAAUUGAACAGAAAAAUUUAUCUUAUCAAAUCCAUUGGUAAGAAACAUACAAAAGAACAAUCAAAACUUUGUGAGAUUUAAAAUAAAUUGACAAUCAAACAAAACAAGUGACCGAAAGUAAAGCAAAUCAAAGAAAAAGAAGCAAAACGAAUCAAACAAGCCGAUGUUGGAGUUAUAGAAGCCUCCGACCAUUGGCUUGAACUAUAGAAAAAUCUCUCUCUUCCUCUCCUGAUGGCUAGGGUGUAAGCUUAUAGGAGCUAUAGGAUGUAAGCUUAUAGGAUAUUUCAGAGUGCUACAAAUAGAGUCAUUCGUUUUGAUUGUGUGAUGCAGAGAGAACAAAUCCAUCAAAAAUAUCAUACAUGCAGAACCGUCUGUUGUCGAUCCAAAUGUAGCGGCAGAGCUUCAUCGUUUUAAUUUUGUGAAGUUGUUUAUCAAUAUCAGAUAUAUUGCAUGUAGUUUACUAUCAUUUGUAAUAGAGAUUAGAUAAUGAUGUACCUAAUGUUAAACAAUACAAUUAAAUUAAAGAAAAAAGCCAAUAAAUAAAAUAUAUAAUAGAAAUAAAGUAUAUAUUGUGGAAGUCAUAAAACAAAUUAUUUUAUUUAUUUUGAAAUUAGCAAUUUUGAAGAUUUAAUUUUGAACCAGUCCCGUAAUUUCUUUUCAUGAUUAUAUUGUUAGUUAUAUUAAAUUGAUAAUUAAUUAGUUAUUACUUAUUACAGAUAAGGAAAAUUAAUGAAAGACAAAUCUUUUUGGUAAAAGAUGAAAGAUAUACUGAAAUUCUAAGAAUAUAAUGUUAAAAUAUUAAUGUAUAUUUUAAGAGCUUAGAAUAAGAGUAUCUCUAACCCAUUACUAUUUACUCUAUAGUAGCAUUUAGAGGCAAAAUAACUCCAAUUCAUUGUUAUUUCUUUAUCUAAGAUAGAAAUUGCUAUUUUUUCUUCUAUUUAUAGAAAAAAAACAUCAAUCUCUAUUUUUUACUCUAUUUUUUGUUUGGGAUGGUCUAAACUAGCAUUUCAUACCCAAAAAAAGAAGAGCUAUCGUUCUAAGAGAUUUUGGUAAAUGCGGCCUCAAUUUUUGUUAAAUAUCGAGUGGUCUACAGCAAAUGCAUUAUUAGCCUUACCAAAAACCAUUAUCUUCAAAGACUUAAAAAAUCACAUAUUUUCUUUUUAUCCAAAAUUAGUACCACAGGUGGCAGUUGCUGAUUAGUCAUUGACUCAUAACAGAUCAUAAUAGACUGACUCUGUUGAUAAGAUGGACUUGGAGUCUACUCUUUCGUUGCCACUCACAUCUCUUCUCCAAAUAACGUCGCUAAGCGAGUUGCAGAGCUGUUUCAUAAAAGGUAAAUUAUCUUUUUCUAUAUCAAAUAUUUUUUUUCUGCUUAACUUGCUUUGAUCUGUCUUUUGCCCUAUGUUGUUGUUGAAUCAGAUUUAUUUUUAAAAAUAACUUGGAUUAUUAGAAAUCUUGUUUCACGAAUUUGAGGCAUUUACUCAAAUCUUAUUAUUCGUUUGCUUGAUUAAAAGUGAUGGCUGAGGUAGUUGUGUCAGCGAUGGUUGAGGGAGUUGUAUCGUUUGGAGUGGAGAAACUGAGCGAUUGCAGGGAGUGCAUGAGCAUGUUGCUGGUCUAAAACGCCGGAUGAGAACGUUACAGUCAUUGUUGAAAGAUGCAGAUGCCAAGAAACAUGAGAAUCAAGCUGUGAGAAGCUUCUUGGAAGAUGUCAAAGACAUUGUUUACGAUGCUGAAGAUAUAAUUGAAUCCUUUCUUUUGAAAGAAUCUAGUGGUAACGAAAAAUGGAUCAAGAGGCGUGUGAAAGGGCUUUCUUGUUUCUUAGUGGAGCGCCGAGAUAUUUCUAUAGAAAUUGAAGGCAUAACUAAGAGAAUGUCUGAGGUUGUUGCGGAAAUGCAGAGCUUUGGAAUAAAAGAAAUCAUGUAUGAUGGUCGUUCACUGUCUCUAAAAGAGAGACAAAGGGUGCAGAGGGAGAUCCGACAAACAUUUCCUAAGAGUUCUGAAAGGGGCCUUGUUGGGGUGGAAGAGAGUGUUGAAGAAUUGGUUGGUCAUUUGGUGAAGAAUGAUAACAUUCAAGUGGUUUCCAUAUCAGGGAUGGGUGGUAUUGGCAAAACCACUCUGGCAAGACAAGUUUUUCAUCAUGACAUUGUUCGACGUCAUUUUGAUGGAUUCGCAUGGGUAUGUGUUUCAAAAGAGUUUCGGCGGAAGGAUAUUUGGCAAAAGAUCUUGCAAGAUCUUAGACCACAUGGUAAGGACAUCAAACAGAUGGAUGAGAAUGAAGUCCAGGCUAUCAAACAAAUGGAUGAGAACGAACUCCAGGAGAAGCUCUUUCCAUUGCUGGGAGCACGUAGACAUUUAAUUGUCUUAGAUGAUGUAUGGCAAAAUGAAGACUGGGAUAGAAUAAAAGACGUUUUCCCCCAAGAAAGAGGCAAGCUCUUUAAUUGUACAUACACUACUUAAAAGUUUCAUAAAUGCCUUUUAAUCCCUGACUUAAAAGGAAAUUACAAUUUGCAGGUUGGAAAAUGAUUCUUACUUCUCGCAAUGGAGGUGUUGGUUUACAUGCAGACCCAACAUGUUUUGCCUUUACACCAACAAUCCUUACUCCCGAGGAAAGUUGGGAGUUGUGUGAGCAGAUAGCAUUAUCUAGAAGAGACAAAACUGGUACGUUUAUAUAAUAGAAUAUUAUUAAUCCGUUACGACACAUAAUGUGAUAUCUCUUACCUCCUAUUAUCAAAAAUCUUGUGGAGUAGUUCAGGGAUGUACAUAUAUGGUUCAUGGCUAUUAUCUUAUAAUAUAUGCUUUUUGUUUUGCAGAAUUUAGUGUUGAUAAAGAACUGGAAGCUAUGGGUAAAAAAAUGGUUAAAUAUUGUGGAGGACUACCGUUAGCUGUUAAAGUGCUGGGAGGCUUGUUAGCUAACAAGAAAUAUACGGUUGAAGCGUGGAAAAGAGUAUAUGACAAUAUUCAAACUCAGAUCAUUCGCUCAGAUGACAACAAACAAGAUUCGGUUUACCGAGUAUUGUCUCUGAGCUAUGAAGAUUUGCCAAUGCAUUUAAAGCAUUGCUUUCUUUUCCUAGCUUAUUUCCCUGAAGAUUACAAGAUAUCAGUCAAUAAACUGUAUUUUUUAUGGGCAGCCGAAGGAAUAAUAACAUCAAGUUGCGAUGGACCAACCAUUCGAGAGAGUGGAGAAGAAUACAUGGAAGAGUUAAUAAGGAGAAAUAUGGUUAUCGUAGAAAAAAGCAUUAUGAGUUGGGGUCAGGGAUAUUGUCAAAUGCAUGACAUGAUGAGAGAAGUAUGUUUAUCUAAGGCCAAAGAAGAGAAUUUUCUUCAAGUCAUCAAAGCCCCUACUUCCACUUCAACUGUCAAUGCUCAUACUCGUGAAUCUCGCAGACUCGUAGUUCAUGGUGGCAAUGCACUUAAUUUGCUGGGACGUAAAAGCAAUAAAAAAGCUAGAUCGGUUUUGGGUUUUGGACUCGACAGCAACUUGUGGAAGCAGUCAGCUCAAGGAUUCCGAAAUUUACAGUUACUUAGGGUCCUAGAUCUGAGUUCAGAAUCAGAUAGUGGAGCUGAGUUUAAAGUGAGAAUACCUUCCAGCAUUGGCAAUCUCAUUCAUUUGAGAUUUUUGAGCUUAAACGUGACUUCGGGAUCUCAUCUACCAUCUUCUCUACGGAAUCUAAAGCUUCUACUCUAUUUGGAAUUAUCCUCCAGUGGGGCUGUUUACGUGCCAAAUAUCUUUAAAGAGAUGGUCGAGUUGAGGUACCUGGCGCUACCCAUUUAUAUGAAAAAUAAAACAAAGCUGGAAUUGGGUAAGCUAGUGAACCUGGAGCUUUUGGGGUGUUUCCAAUUGAAAAGUGGUAGCAUCACAGACCUCCGCGGCAUGACUAGGCUCAGGACUCUCCAAGUAAUUUUCGAAGGCAGGUACACUUCUGAAAAAAUUCUAGCGUCAUCUCUCCGUGAAUUAAGAAACCUGGAGACGCUUUUGUUGAGGAGCGAAUCCGAUGUAACUUAUGAAGUGGAUUUCAUUUGGAAUUUCAUUCAUCUAAGGGUUUUAGAUAUGUGGAUGCAUAUGCCAAGGCUUCCUGAGCACUCUCGAUUCCCUCCAAACCUUGCAAGCAUAUCUCUAGGUCAAUGCAGAAUGGAGGAGGACCCACUCCCGAUUCUGGAAAAGUUGCUUCAUUUAAAGUCUGUUGAAUUAUGGAUUGAUGCUUUCGUCGGGAGGAAAAUGGUGUGUUCAAAAGGUGGAUUCCCUCAAUUACAUAAGCUAGAUUUAGUGGUUCUAAAAGAGUUGGAAGAGUGGGAAAUCGAAGAAGGGUCGAUGUCAUGUCUUCGUACUUUGUCUAUAGGAUUUUGUGGCAAGUUGAAGGAGAUACCGGAAGGGCUGAAGUAUAUAAUCUCUUUAAAGGAACUGGAAAUUUCAGGUAUGAACAAGGAGUGGAAUGAGAAAUUGGAAUCAGGUGGGGAAAGUUACUACAAAGUCCAACACAUUCCUAGUGUUCAAUUCAACAAUCUUAGCUACUACUAAGGAGAAUAAAACGUCUCAGGUUUAUAUUUUUGGUAUAAUGUUCCAUAUUGUUCGUUUUGUUGGUUAUGUAUCCUCUGAAGUUUAGUGUGAAAGUCUCAACUAUCUAACCUUUUUUAUUAUUUGGUUUUCAGGGGAACCUACUCAGAAUCAGUACCCACUAUUUAUUGUGUGAUGGGACAUAUAAGUCGUUUUUGUUUGUGUUGAUGUAUGAAGUUUACUUCUUGUCUGCGAUAUUCCGUUUAUCUAUUCCAUGCUCACUCGCUGUAAUGCUAAGUUUGAAAUACAUUCUGUAUGUCGAACCAUAUUUUCUUCAAUGUCUCCCUUUUUUGUAUGACAAUGCUUUGAUAGUGAUCAUUGAACAUGAUUUUAUCAUUUGGUUUAACGAAGAUCAAGAGAUGGAGGAGUCAACAGCUUUGACACCAAACAUCUAGUUAACCUAAAAUAUACAAUUAACUUGAUAGUAUAAACAUCAGUCACAAAAAAUUAUUUAUCUUUUGGCUAAUUGAUAGGCAUUAGUGUAGUAAUACACGGAGUUUUACUCUUGAAACGAGGAAAAAUCUUAAACGCUCGGCUCAGGUCUCAAAUACAAACCAUCUUACAAUCCUGACUGUAUUGACACAAACUAUUAUGCAAAACCACAUUCUUGAUCUCAGCAGUAACAACAUCUCUUUGUCAUGCACGAAUCUUCAGCUUCUUGAUCUCAGCAGUAACAACAUCUCUUGGACCCAUACCUGAAGAACUCUUUGACAUUGAAAAUCUAGACAUUGCCUUAAACUUGAGCCGGAACUCAUUAGAUGGCUUCAUCCCGGCGAGGAUCUCAGCUCUUAACCGAUUAUCUGUGCUGGAUAUAUCGUACAACAUGCUUUCAGGCCACCUCUUUUCCCUGUCCGGUCUUAAAAACUUGGUUUCUUUGAAUAUCUCUCACGAUAGAUUCUCAGGUUUUCUUCAGACAGUUAAGUGUUCAGACAGAUGACACAAGAAAAGAUGGAAGGGAAUAAUGGACUCUGUUCCAAAGGCUUCAGGUCUUGUUUUGUUAGUAGUGGUACACGGUUACACACACAGCCCGGUGAAGAUUUUGUGCACUCUCAGGGACUCAAGAUAGCCAUUGGAUUGCUAAUAAGUUUGAUAAUUAUUCUAGCGGUAUUAGGCGUGUUAGCGGUUUUAAGGGCAAGGCAGAUGACUCAGGAUGAUAACGAUUCAGAGAAGGGAGAAAACCUGUGGACAUGGCAGUUCACACCUUUUCAGAAACUCAACUUCACGGUUGAACAUGUACUCAAAGUGUUUGGUUGAAAGUAAUGUUAUAGGGAAAAGUUGCUCUGGAGUAGUGUACAGAGCAGAAAUGCCUAACCAAGAAAUCAUCGCAGUGAAAAAGCUCUGGCCAGUGACAGUAACGGUUGCUAAGACAUCAGGAGGUCGAGACUCAUUCUCAGCUGAAGUCAAGACACUUGGUUCGAUCAGACACAAGAACAUUGUUAGGUUUGUUGAAGUAAGCUUGAAGAUAGCUUGAGAAGGAAGCAAUCCUAAUCCUAAAAGAAGUGGGAGAAUAAAGAUAAGGGUUAUCUUUAGUUUAGAGUUAUCUAAACAUAUGUAAUUACUAAUAGGAUUAGGACAAACAUAGAUAUAUAAAUAGAGAGAUCAUGAGAUGAUCCAAUGUGUGAGUUUAUGAGUUUGUGAGCUUGAGGUUUUGAGUUAGUUUCCUCAAGGGAUUAAUAAGAAGAGUUCUUAUUGUGUGUGUUCUUAUAUUCAUAUUAUCGAAGCUUAAUUUCUAGAUUUGGUAUCAGAGCCAAAACAGAGAUCAUGGGAGAUAUUGUGGAAGCAACCGGCAAGGUGAAAGAAGGAGGAGGGUCCUCUUCGAUUAAGUGUCCUAUGCUUAACCAGACAAAUUAUACAGUAUGGGUUAUGAGGAUGAGAAUCACAUUGAAGGUACAUGAGGUCUGGGAAGCAAUAGAGACAGAGACUGCGAGCGCUAAGAAAAACGACCUAGCACUAGCAUUGUUGUUUCAAUCCAUACCAGAGUCGCUAAUCUUGCAAGUAGGAGAACUUGAUAAAGCUAAACAAGUUUGGGAAGCCAUUAAAGCAAGAUAUGUGGGAGCAGAACGAGUAAAAGAAGCAAGACUACAAACGUUGAUGAACGAGUUUGAUAGAUUAAAGAUGAAAGAGACCGAGAGUAUAGACGAUUUCGGUGGAAAAUUAUCAGAACUCGCCUCUAAAUCGUCCGCAUUGGGAGUUAUCAUCGAGGAAGCCAAGCUGGUGAAAAAAUUUCUCUCAAGUUUACCUCGAAAGAAAUAUAUACACAUUGUAGCUUCUCUCGAACAGGUGUUGGAUCUUAACAAAACAAACUUUGAAGACAUCAUGGAACGUUUAAAGGCAUACGAAGAAAGAGUUUUAGAUGAAGAAGAAGAUCAAACUAAACUGAUGUAUGCAAAUAAUGAAGGACAAAGCGGCCAAACCAACCAAUCAAAUCGAUCAUCGGACAAUUCAAAUUACUACCAAGGAGAUUCAUAUAGAGGAAGAGGUAGAGGAGGCGGCAGACGUCCUUACAAUAACAGGGGAAGGGGACGUGGCCGAUAUAAUGGAGGACGAGGAUAUAAUGAAAGCUACAAUGGAGGAAGAGGAUAUGAGAGAGACGCAUCCAAAAUAACCUGUUAUAGAUGUGACAAGGUUGGCCACUUUGUCGCACAAUGUCCGGAGCUUCUUCUUAAACUACAAGAGGCUCAUGAAACUGACAAUACAGAGACCCAAGAAGCUGAUGAACUCAUGAUGCAUGAGGUAGUGUUCCUAAACGAGAAGAAUGUCUUACCUGAAAAAUACGAAACAAGUUGUGAAGGAGAAAACAUAUGGUAUCUAGAUAAUGGAGCAAGCAACCAUAUGACUGGGGAUAGAAGAUAUUUUUCGGCAAUAGACAACACCAUCACGGGAAAGGUUAGAUUUGGAGACGAUUCAAGGAUAGACAUAAAAGGCAAGGGAACGAUUUCUUUUACAGAUUGCAAUGGAGAAGAUAGGAAGAUGAUAGAUGUUUAUUACAUCCCUGAUUUGAAAAGUAAUAUCAUAAGCUUGGGUCAAGCCACAGAAGCGGGUUGUGACAUAAGAUUAAGAGGAGAAGAGUUGACGAUGCAUGAUCAACAUGGGAAAUUGCUUGUGAAAGCAAAAAGAUCAAAGAAUAGACUGUACAAGGUUCAUAUGGGAAUCAGAAGCAAUGCGCGCUUGUACCUAUCCACGACAAGUGAAACAAAGCGAUGGCAUGCUCGGUUAGGGCACAUAAACUUUGAGUCUUUAAAAGGGAUGAAACAAAAGGAGUUAGUACUCGGGCUUCCUAGUAUAAAUGGUGAAAAAGAAGUGUGCGGCUCAUGCUUACUUGGCAAGCAAGCAAGGCAACCCUUCCCUAAAUCAACCACAUACCGAGCUGAAAAGAAACUAGAGCUACUUCAUGGCGAUCUAUGCGGGCCUAUAACACCGAGAACUCCAAAGGGAAAUAGAUAUAUAUUUGUGGUUAUUGAUGAUAACACAAGAUAUAUGUGGACAAUGUUGAUAAAAGAGAAGAGUGAAGCAUUUAACAAAUUUAAAAGGCUCAAGGAGGUGAUAGAAAGAGAAACAGGAAAGAAGAUAGGAGUUUUCAGAACGGAUAGAGGAGGAGAGUUCGUAUCCAGAGAGUUCAACGACUUCUGUGAAAGGUUUGGCAUCAAACGACACCUCACGGCUCCAUACACACCGCAACAGAACGGAGUUGUGGAACGCAGAAACAGAACAUUGUUAGAGAUGGCGAGAAGCAUUCUCAAACAUAUGCAUAUGCCAAACUACCUUUGGGGAGAAGCUAUACGACAUUCAACAUAUUUGCUAAACCGUGUGGCCACCCGUGCCUUGAAAGAGAAGACACCGUAUGAAGGGUUCCGUAACAAGAAGCCAAAUAUUAGCCAUCUACGCGUGUUCGGAUGCAUAGCUUAUGCAAAAGCAGAUAAAAAGCUCUUGAAGAAAUUAGAUGAUCGAGCAAGAAUGUUAGUAAACUUAGGCACAGAGCCAGGAUCAAAGGCUUACCGCCUACUAGAUCCACAAACUCAGAAGAUAGUGGUAAGUAGAGAUGUAGUAUUUGAUGAGUCAAGAGGAUGGAAUUGGAGUGAGGUCACCACGGAAAACCAGAGCAUUGAAGACUUCACUAUAUCUAUAGGAGAGUUUGGUAAUCACGGAGUUGAUAACCACAUUGAGAGAGAGGAACGGUUACGUCUAAAACAAGCUACGAACGAAGAAGAAGAAACAGCACCUGAGAGUAUAGUAAUCACUGAUGACCAAGAAGAAGUAGUAGAGGAAGAAACACAAGUGUUAAGAAGAUCGGAAAGGCAACACAACAAACCAAAAUACCUUGACGAUUAUAUUCUCCUUGCCGAAGAACUUGGUGAAGAGAUAUUGAUGUACCUGAAUCAUGAGCCACGAAAUUGGAAUGAAGCUAAAGAAUCAAAGGAGUGGAGACGAGCAUGUGAGGAAGAGAUCAUAUCCAUCGAAAAGAAUGAUACAUGGAGUUUAGUUGAGUUGCCGUGCGGUGCCAAAGCCAUUGGUCUUAAGUGGGUGUUCAAGAUCAAACGCAACGCAGAUGGAAGCAUUAACAAGUACAAAUCAAGGCUAGUGGCUAAAGGAUAUGUGCAGCGUCACGGAAUUGAUUUUGAUGAGGUAUUCGCACCAGUAGCACGUCUUGAAACAAUAAGACUUCUCGUUAAUCUAGCAGCUACGAAUGGAUGGGAGGUGCAUCACUUGGAUGUUAAAACAGCAUUCCUACAUGGAGAACUAAAGGAAACUGUUUAUGUUAUGCAACCUGAGGGUUAUGAAAGAAAAGGAGAAGAAGGAAAAGUGUAUAAACUGAACAAAGCACUAUAUGGAUUAAGGCAAGCUCCACGGGCGUGGAACAAUAAACUAAACCAGAUACUCUGUGAACUUAAGUUUAAAAAAUGCUCUAAGGAGCCUUCGGUAUAUCGCAAGAUAGAAGAAGGAGAGCUAUUAAUCGUUGCAGUUUAUGUAGAUGAUCUGUUUGUGACUGGUACUAACCAAAAGAUGAUCAAGGAGUUCAAAGAUAAUAUGUCAAGCAAGUUUGACAUGAGUGAUUUAGGCAAGCUUACUUAUUAUCUUGGCAUAGAAGUGUGCCAAUACGAGAAUGGGAUUUCAUUGGUGCAAAGAAGCUACGCAUCGAAGAUUUUAGAAGAAGAUGGAAUGGACAAAUGCAAUUCUGUCCAAACUCCGAUGGAACUUGGUCUAAAGUUGUCAAAAGCUGAAAACGAGAAAGAGAUUGACGCGACAAGGUUCAGAAGAAACAUAGGAUGCCUACGUUAUCUUCUUCACACACGACCUGACUUAUCGUAUAGUGUUGGAGUUCUUUCAAGAUUCAUGCAGAGUCCAAGAGAAUCACAUGGUGCCGCAAUGAAACAGGUGCUAAGAUAUCUACGGGGAAGCAUCUCGUAUGGCCUAACAUUCGAGAGGAGUUCUCUCAAGGUUCCAAAGCUUAUAGGGUACAGCGACAGUAGCUAUGAGUCUGAUCCAGACGAUGGGAAAAGCACGACAGGCCAUAUAUUCUAUCUAGGAGAUAGUCCAAUCACGUGGAGCUCACAAAAGCAAGACACGGUGGCUCUAUCAUCCUGCGAAGCCGAGUUCAUGGCAGGAACAGAGGCCGCGAGACAGGCCAUUUGGUUACAAGACUUAUUGAGUGAGAUCAUGGAUCAACCAAGCAAGAGAGUCACCAUUUUAAUUGAUAACCAGUCUGCAAUUGCGUUAACAAGAAACCCGGUGUUCCAUGGAAGAAGCAAACAUAUACAUAAGAGAUAUCAUUUUAUAAGAGAGUGCGUUGAGAACGGACAGAUAGCAGUCGAGCACGUUCCCGGAGAGAAGCAGAAGGCAGAUAUCUUGACAAAAGCAUUGGGAAGAAUCAAGUUCAAGGAGAUGAGAGAGUUUAUCGGAAUGAAAGACUUAGAGACUGAAAGCUUCAAGCUUAGGAGGGACAAUGUUGAAGUAAGCUUGAAGAUAGCUUGAGAAGGAAGCAAUCCUAAUCCUAAAAGAAGUGGGAGAAUAAAGAUAAGGGUUAUCUUUAGUUUAGAGUUAUCUAAACAUAUGUAAUUACUAAUAGGAUUAGGACAAACAUAGAUAUAUAAAUAGAGAGAUCAUGAGAUGAUCCAAUGUGUGAGUUUAUGAGUUUGUGAGCUUGAGGUUUUGAGUUAGUUUCCUCAAGGGAUUAAUAAGAAGAGUUCUUAUUGUGUGUGUUCUUAUAUUCAUAUUAUCGAAGCUUAAUUUCUAGAAGGUUCUUGGGAUGUUGUUGGAACAAGAACACGAGACUUCUUAUGUAUGAUUAUAUGUCGAAUGGGAGUUUGGGAAGCUUGCUUCAUGAUAGGAGUGAUGAAUGUAUCUUAGGAUGGGAGGUUAGGCACAGGAUUAUACUUGGUGCAGCUCAGGGUUUGGCUUACUUGCAUCAUGACUGUGUUCCUCCCAUCAUGGCUAAUAAUAUUCUCAUUGGCCCUGAUUUUGGGCCCUAUAUUUGAGAUUUCGGUCUUGCUAAGCUUGUUGACGGUGGAGACUUUGCUCGUUCUUUCAAAACCAUUGCUAGUUCCUAUGGUUACAUAGCUCCAGGUACUCUCCACAUUUUUAUCAUAUGUACUUAUAUUAUUACUAGAAAUAGUAGUCAGUAUUGGUAGACAUUCCGGUUUAUUCUUUGCUGGUGAAUUCUCUGACCUGUUUGGGAGCAGUACUCCGCCCGGAAGCCUGGCCAUCUUUUUCUUAUCAAGCCUAUGAGAUCUUAAGAGAGUUAUUGGAGAUGAAUGAGUUUGGAUUGCAGGUUGUGGGGGGGGGGGGGNNNNNNNNNNNNNNNNNNNNNGGGGGGGGGGGGGGGGGAAGAGGCAAAUAGAGGAACAUCUUUCAUUGCUCAAAGUGUUACUAGGCAAGGGCGGAUCCAAUCCUAUGUGGCCACUGGUCAUCCCCCUUGGUUGUUUUAGUUCCUUGUUAAUGAAAGCCGUUUUCUCUAACAUAUGUCUAGGAAGGAAGGUUAGGAUUUAAUUCGGGGACUGUCACUCUAUUUUUGUAACUCCCCUGGUUUUUACUCUGUGUUUUGAGCUAUUGAUGGAAUGAUGGUGAAAGACACUGUUGUAGUUGUGGUUGGUGGCCUUCGUGGUCUUUGAAUAAAAUUAUUCUCAGUUGUCUAAAGCAAAUGCAUUAUUACAGAUAGAAGCGACUGCAAAAGUUGACUUUCUCUUUCAUUGCAACUCAUAUCUCUUCUUCCAAAGAACGUCGCUGAAAGGUAAAUCAGAUAGAACAGAGUUGCAGAUCUGUUUCGUAAAAGGUAAAUCAUGUUUUCUACAUCAUAUUUUUCGACUUAACUUGCUUCGAUCUGUCUUUUUUCCCUCUGUUAUGGUCGAAUCAGAUUUAAAAAUAAAAUAAAAUUAUUUCAUUAAAAAUAAGUUAAGAAAAAAAGUUCCUCUGACAGGAGAUCAGUGAUGGCUGAGGUAGUUGUGUCAGUGCUGGCUGAGGGAGUUGUGUCCUUUGGAAUGGAGAAACUCUGGGACCUCCUGAGUCGAGAAUCUGAGCGAUUACAGGGAGUGCAUGAGCAUGUUACUGAUCUAGAACGUCACCUGCGAAAGUUACAGUCAUUGUUGAAAGAUGCAGAUGCCAAGAAACAUGAGAAUGAAGUUGUGAGAAACUUAUUGGAAGAUGUCAAAAACAUUGUUUAUGAUGCUGAAGAUAUAAUUGAAUCCUUUGUUUUGAAAGAAUCUAGUGGUAAAGAAAAAGGGAUCAAGAGGCGUGUGAGAAAACUUUCUUGUUUCUUAGGGAACCGACGAGAUAUUUCUAUAGACAUUGAAGGCAUAACUAAGAGAAUGUCUGAGGUUGUUGCGGACAUGCAGAGCUUUGGAAUAAAAGAAAUCAUGAGCGAUGGCCGUUCACUGUCUCUAAAAGAGAGACAAAGGGUGCAGAGGGAGAUCCGACAAACAUUUCCGAAGAGUUCUGAAAAGGGCCUUGUGGGGGUGGAAGAAAGUGUUGAAGACUUGGUUGGUCAUUUGGUGAAGAAAGAUAACAUUCAAGUGGUUUCCAUAUCAGGGAUGGGUGGUAUUGGUAAAACCACUCUGGCGAGACAAGUUUUUCAUCAUGACAUUGUUCGACAUCGUUUUAAUCGAUUCGCAUGGGUAUGUGUUUCAAAAGAGUUUCAGCGGAAGGAUAUCUGGCAAAAGAUCUUGCAAGAUCUUAGACCACAUGAUGAGAACAUCAAACAGAUGGAUGAGAAUAAACUCCAGGCAGAGCUCUUUCUAUUGCUGGGAAAAUCUAGACAUUUAAUUGUCAUCGAUGAUGUAUGGAAAAAUGAAGACUGGGAUCUAAUAAAAGACGUUUUCCCCCAAGAAAGAGGCGAGCUCUUUACUUUUUCAUACAUUACUUAAGUGCUUCCGUUAGCAGUUUCAUAAAUGCCUUUUAAUCCCUAACUGACAUAAAAGAAAAUUUAAUUUGCAGGUUGGAAAGUGAUUCUUACUUCUCGCGAUGAAGGUGUUGGUUUACAUGCAGACCCAACAUGUUUUGCCUUUACACCAAAAAUCCUUAAUCCCGAGGAAAGUUGGAACUUGGAAGCUAUGUGAGGGGAUAGCAUUAUCUAGAAGAGACAAAACUGGUACGUUUGUUAAUUAAGACACUGAAUGUGAUAUCUCUUACCUCCUAUAAUCAAAAAUCUUGUGGAGUAAUUCACUAAUUUAUCUUCUAGGGUAGACAUAUUGUUCAUGGCCAUUGUCUUAUAAUAUAUGCUAUUGUUUCGCAGAAUUUGGUGUUGAUAAAGAGCUAGAAGAUAUGGGUAAGAAAAUGGUUACAUAUUGUGGAGGACUACUGUUAGCUGUUAAAGUGCUGGGAGGCUUGUUAGCUAAAAAAAUGGUUGACGAGUGGGAACGAGUAUAUAAAAAAUAUUCAAACUCAGAUCAUUCAGUUAGAUGACAACAAAAAAGAUUCAGUUUGCCGAGUUUUGUCCCUGAGCUAUGAAGAUUUUGUUACGAGUAGAUGUGAAAACAAUGAUCUAAAGAUGAAAUACUGAUUGUAUUGAGAGAAAUAGUGAUUUUACAAGAGAAACCGAUUACAAAUCCUUCUCUCGAAGAUCUCUCUACAUCUCUCUCUGAUUAUUCACUCAAACUCUAGAUAACCUUUCUCUCUAGCAAACUACAGCUUAAAUAGAAAGAGUAAGCAGCAAGUUGGAGAGCAGCCAGCUCAGCAUCCUUCCCAUGUGAAAUGUUAUGUGCUCACGUGCAUUGCUCACGUGAAUGCCACCUCAUCCCCUCCUACGUAUCAGAUUUGUCAAUGGAGUUAAAGCAUUGCUUCCUUUGCCUAGCUUAUUUACCUGAAGAUUACAAGAUACAAGUGAAUAAAUUGUGUUAUUUCUGGGCAGCAGAAGGAAUAAUAACGUCAAGUUGCGAUGGACCAACCAUUCGAGAGAGUGGAGAAGAAUACUUGGAAGAGUUAAUAAGGAGAAAUAUGGUUAUUGCUGAAAAAGAUAGUUUGAGUUGGAGAUGGGAUUCUUGUCAAAUGCAUGACAUGAUGAGAGAAGUAUGCUUACAUGAAGCCAAAAAAGGAGAACUUUCUUUAAUUCUUCAAAGCCUCUACUUCCAGUUCUAAUGUCAUUGCUCAAAGUCGUAGAUGUCGCAGACUCGUAGUACAUGGUCUCAAAUAUCUAACAUUUUUAUUAUUCGGUUUUCAGGUGAAUCAGUACGCACUGUUGAUGAUAUUCUGAUGGAAUAUAAGGCGUUUUUGUUGCGUGCCAGCGACGAAUAAGGAGAAUAAAACGUCUCAGGUAUAUAUAUAUAUAUUUGGUAUAUUGUACAUAUUGUUCAUUUUUGUUGGCUAUUUAUCCUCCUUGAAGUUUAGUGUGAAAGUCUCAUCUAAACUUUUUAUUAUUCGGUUUUCAGGUGAACUUACUCAGAAUCAAGUACCCACUCUUGAUUGUAUGAAGUCGUUGUUUUUGUUGUUGUUGUGAUCUAUUGCUCACUCUCUGUAAUGCUAAGUUUGAAAUACUUUUUGUAUGUGUAACCAUAUUUUCUUCAAUGUUUCCCUUGUGAGUGCUUUGUUGAUUUGUAUAUUCUGACUUGGAGAUACGCAGGUUCUUAACAAUGCGUAUUGGUUUACCAGGUGUUGUGCUUAUCAACCCAAACGCAACAGCGAUCUUCUCGCUAUGGUAAUGAAGCGCGUUUUCUUUAUCCUCUUCCUCCAAGUUCAGCAAAACCUGCGUAGUGAUGGGUCUAUACCCAGCCAGUCUCAGUUUCUCUGAGAUUUCCGCAAGCUUCGAGUUAAUGUCUUUGGCUCUCGGGUGAGAAUCAUCUUCCACAAGAAACUCAUGAAGCACACCAUCAACAUCGAUCCAGCUACACCCGGGGUCUUUUCUUAUAUCCAUCUCCUUCAUCCUCAGCCUCAUCUCCGAAACCUCCGACCAGUUUCCUUGAGAAGCGUACAUGUUUGAGAGAGCCACAUAAGCUCCACUGUCCUGAGGAACCAUAUCCAUCAGAAUAUUAGCCACACGUUUCCCCAUCUCCACGUUCCCGUGCAUUCUGCAAGCACCCAAAAGAGCUUUCCAUAUCACGUCAUCUGGUUUCACGGGCAUGUUGUGUAUAAACUGCUCAGCCUCUUCGAGAAGACCCGAGCGUCCCAAUAGAUCAACCAUACACCCGUAGUGUUCAAUCCUAGGAUCUAAACCAUCCACAUUCACCAUCUGACUAAAAUACUUUCUCCCUUCUUCUACCAACCCAGCAUGGCUACAAGCCGUCAAGAGAUUGAUGUACGCAACAUCGCUAGGCUUAACUCCAGCCUCCCUCAUUCUACAAAAACAGUCAAUAGCAUCACCCGCUAGGCCGUGUAUAGCAAACCCGUUAAUCAUAGCACUCCAAGUAAUCACAUUCUUCCUCGGUAACCUCUCAAACACCUCAACCGCUCUCUCCACAACUCCGCAUUUGGAGUACAUAUCAAUCAAAGCAGAGCCAAGCACAUCAUCAACCUCCACUCUAUUACUCUCCGCAUAAGAAUGCAACCACUCUCCCAACUCCAACGACCCUAUCCGAGAAACCGCAGGCAAAACACUAACCAAAGUGACAUAACUAAGACGCAAAUCAACUCUCCUCAUCUCACAGAAAAUCUCCACAGCCUCCUUGAAGCACCCGUUCUUGCAAUAGCCAGAGAUCAUAGUGUUCCAAGAAACAACGCUUCUCACACGCAUUUGAUCGAACAACGUCCGCGCAGCUUUACAAUCACCAAGCCUCAUGUAACCGUCAAUCAUCACAUUCCAUAUAACAACCUCACCGUCUCUCUUUCUACCACCAUCAACCAUCAUAUUCACAGCCAUAUCUCUCCCUAUAAUGUUUUUAUAAAACAACACGCACGCGUCUCUCAUCAAACCGCACAUCACAUACAUCCUCACGAGAUUGCUCAUCACGAACUCGUCGCCGCUAAGCCCUAGCUUCAACGCCAGCGCGUGGAUCUGCUUGCCUUCUUCGAUCCUCCCGGUUUUCGCGCAGGCCUUGAGGAGUGACGGGAAGGUAAACCGGUUCGGUUCGACCGAGUCUUUCAUCAUCUCGUGGAAGAGUGCGAUCGCGAUGAUUGCGUUUUGCUCUUCGCUCUCGCUGAAGCCUCGGAUAAUAGUGUUCCAGGAGAAGGUGUUGCGGUGAGGCAUCUGGGUGAAGAUCUUGUGCGCGUAAUCGAGGUCGCGGUGGAGGAGAUCGGAGGUGGUGGCGCAGAAGCGGAGGAGCUCCGCGGCGGCGAGAGUGUCUCGCAUUUGGCCGGAUUUGACGAAUGUGGCGUGGAUUUGGGAGAGGUCGCGCAUGGUUCGGCAUCUGUUGAUUUGAGGGAAGAGGGAUGACGGGUGCGUUGAAUGAGGUGACGGCGAGUUACCGCCGGAGGGGUAAAGCGUCUGCGUUGGGUUCAUGGUGGUGACUCGCGAGUUCUUCGUCUAAGGAA
rnacentral:lncRNA from 1 species